CUAGAAGCAUCUAUAUAAUGGACUCCAUGCCUAUACCAUCAUGGUUUAAGGGUGAUCAUCCUAGCAUGCAUUAUAUUCAUAAUAUACAUUAUAUUGCCAAUAAUAUGAAUGCUGCCAUGGAAUUGGCCAAUCCUACAUGGAAAGACGAUAUUUAUAUGUGGCGUCGUAUAGUACCAACAUGGGUUCCAAGAACAUUAAACUGGGAUUUAUCUGGCUUUCUUGUUAUCAACUUUAUGCACGAUUGGAAUGGUAUAAGGUUACCCUGCAUUUGCACUAAUGGGAAUGACCUGAGGACCAAAUUCUUAGUAGA